GACGAACGCUGGCGGCGUGCUUAACACAUGCAAGUCGAACGAAGAGCGAUGGAAGCUUGCUUCUAUCAAUCUUAGUGGCGAACGGGUGAGUAACGCGUAAUCAACCUGCCCUUCAGAGGGGGACAACAGUUGGAAACGACUGCUAAUACCGCAUACGAUCUAAUCUCGGCAUCGAGGAUAGAUGAAAGGUGGCCUCUACAUGUAAGCUAUCACUGAAGGAGGGGAUUGCGUCUGAUUAGCUAGUUGGAGGGGUAACGGCCCACCAAGGCGAUGAUCAGUAGCCGGUCUGAGAGGAUGAACGGCCACAUUGGGACUGAGACACGGCCCAGACUCCUACGGGAGGCAGCAGUGGGGAAUCUUCCGCAAUGGACGAAAGUCUGACGGAGCAACGCCGCGUGAGUGAUGACGGCCUUCGGGUUGUAAAGCUCUGUUAAUCGGGACGAAAGGCCUUCUUGCGAAUAGUUAGAAGGAUUGACGGUACCGGAAUAGAAAGCCACGGCUAACUACGUGCCAGCAGCCGCGGUAAUACGUAGGUGGCAAGCGUUGUCCGGAAUUAUUGGGCGUAAAGCGCGCGCAGGCGGAUAGGUCAGUCUGUCUUAAAAGUUCGGGGCUUAACCCCGUGAUGGGAUGGAAACUGCCAAUCUAGAGUAUCGGAGAGGAAAGUGGAAUUCCUAGUGUAGCGGUGAAAUGCGUAGAUAUUAGGAAGAACACCAGUGGCGAAGGCGACUUUCUGGACGAAAACUGACGCUGAGGCGCGAAAGCCAGGGGAGCGAACGGGAUUAGAUACCCCGGUAGUCCUGGCCGUAAACGAUGGGUACUAGGUGUAGGAGGUAUCGACCCCUUCUGUGCCGGAGUUAACGCAAUAAGUACCCCGCCUGGGGAGUACGACCGCAAGGUUGAAACUCAAAGGAAUUGACGGGGGCCCGCGCAAGCGGAGGAACAUGUGGUUUAAUUCGAUGAUACGCGAGGAACCUUACCCGGGCUUGAAUUGCAGAGGAAGGAUUUAGAGAUAAUGACGCCCUUCGGGGUCUCUGUGAAGGUGCUGCAUGGUUGUCGUCAGCUCGUGCCGUGAGGUGUCGGCUUAAGUGCCAUAACGAGCGCAACCCCUGUCUUUAGUUGCCAUCAGGUGAUGCUGGGCACUCUGGAGAUACUGCCACCGUAAGGUGUGAGGAAGGUGGGGAUGACGUCAAAUCAGCACGGCCCUUACGUCCGGGGCUACACACGUGUUACAAUGGCCGGUACAGAGGGACGGUGUAAUGUAAAUUGCAUCUAAUCUUGAAAGCCGGUCCCAGUUCGGACUGGGGUCUGCAACCCGACCCCACGAAGCUGGAUUCGCUAGUAAUCGCGCAUCAGCCAUGGCGCGGUGAAUACGUUCCCGGGCCU
rnacentral:rRNA from 1 species